GGCACAGUGGCUUAGUGGUUAGCACGUUUGCCUCGCCUCUACAGGGUUGGGGGUUCGAAUCUCGUCUCCGCCC